rnacentral:rRNA from 1 species
UACAGAGGGGGCAAGCGUUGUUCGGAAUUACUGGGCGUAAAGGGCGCGUAGGCGGCCUUCUAAGUCGAACGUGAAAUCCCCGGGCUCAACCCGGGAACUGCGUCCGAGACUGAAAGGCUUGAAUCCGGGAGAGGGAUGUGGAAUUCCAGGUGUAGCGGUGAAAUGCGUAGAUAUCUGGAGGAACACCUGAGGUGAAGACGGGUUGCUGGGCUGACACUGACGCUGAGUGCGCGAAAGCCAGGGGAGCAAACGGG